rnacentral:sRNA from 1 species
UAUUCUGCCCCACGGGGAAGGAUGAGAAGCUUCGACUAAGGUUCGACUCGAGCGAAGCGAGAGAACGUUGCCGCAGGCAAUGGCCCGAAGGGCGAAGCGCUUUAGCGCCGAGUAAUCCUUCCCCCACCACUG